rnacentral:rRNA from 1 species
GACGAACGCUGGCGGCGUGCUUAACACAUGCAAGUCGAACGGAAAGGCCCUGCUUUUGUGGGGUGCUCGAGUGGCGAACGGGUGAGUAACACGUGAGUAACCUGCCCUUGACUUUGGGAUAACUUCAGGAAACUGGGGCUAAUACCGGAUAGGAGCUCCUGCUGCAUGGUGGGGGUUGGAAAGUUUCGGCGGUGGGGGAUGGACUCGCGGCUUAUCAGCUUGUUGGUGGGGUAGUGGCUUACCAAGGCUUUGACGGGUAGCCGGCCUGAGAGGGUGACCGGCCACAUUGGGACUGAGAUACGGCCCAGACUUCUACGGGAGGCAGCAGUGGGGAAUAUUGCACAAUGGGCGGAAGCCUGAUGCAGCAACGCCGCGUGCGGGAUGACGGCCUUCGGGUUGUAAACCGCUUUCGCCUGUGACGAAGCGUGAGUGACGGUAAUGGGUAAAGAAGCACCGGCUAACUACGUG